GAACAAAAUACUUUAGCUUCCUGUUUAUUGCUCUCAGAACCAAGGACAGCAGUACAGGGACUUGAGGGGAUUGUGACUUCUUGUAAGGCGUCUAUUGUCCCUAACAUCUUUUGGAGAAAUCUUCAUGAUAUGCCUCUGUUCUCGUUUCUGUCUUUUUUUCCCUUUAGAUUUCUGUGUGGUAACUGUGGCGAUCUGCUGCUGCUGUAGCCAUGUUUAGGAACAGCUUGAAGAUGUUGCUGACGGGCGGCAAGGCCAACCGCAAGAAACGCAACAGUGGAAGAACAGGAGUGCUAAUCCAUUUAAGGUAACUAUCAUUUUUUCUUUCUUUAUUUGCUUUUUUGAAUUCACAUUAGCUUUUGCAGAAGCAGCAUCUACUCUUCCUGGGGUAAUUGCCAAGUCAUAUCCUCUCAAAUAUAUAUCUCCU
rnacentral:lncRNA from 1 species